UCAAUUGGUCGCAGGUUCGAAUCCUGCACGACCCACCAAUUUAACAUCAAACUCAGAUGUUGAACGUGAAGGAUAACGUUGCGUCAGCAACGGCCCGUAGGGCGAGGCGAAGCCGAGUCAUCCUGCACGACCCACCA
rnacentral:sRNA from 3 species